rnacentral:lncRNA from 1 species
UUUUAGGACACAAAUUAAGGGUUCCUUGUACCAUAACAAACCUUUGCCGUGCACUCCAUCCAUGUUUAAUUCUUGCAUCAAUCAUCACUUCACUUUCACCUUUGAAUCAUUUCAACACCACUCCAUUUUACCCAUGCUUUGCAUCAUUACUUCACUUUCACCUUUAAAUCAUUUCAACACCACUCCAUUUUACCCAUGCUUUGCAUCAUUACUUCACUUUCACAUUUGAAUCAUUUCAACACCACUCCAUUUUACCCAUGCUUUGCCUUGCACUUCCUCUAUAAAAGGAAGUGUGUGUAACAUAAAUUGAGU